rnacentral:rRNA from 1 species
UACAGAGGGGGCAAGCGUUGUUCGGAAUUACUGGGCGUAAAGGGCGCGUAGGCGGCCUUCUAAGUCGGACGUUAAAUCCCUGGGCUCAACCCAGGAACUGCGUCCGAUACUGGGAGGCUUGAAUCCGGGAGAGGGAUGUGGAAUUCCAGGUGUAGCGGUGAAAUGCGUAGAUAUCUGGAGGAACACCGGUGGCGAAGGCGGCAUCCUGGACCGGUAUUGACGCUGAUGCGCGAAAGCCAGGGGAGCAAACGGG